CCCUGAGCAAACUGCGGCACCGCUGUGUUACUUUCAAUACCGUACAAAUAAAAUCCGGCUGCUGUGAAUGAUUCAGAACGAGCUGACAACAAGACCAGCUGGUGGCGGGGCGUUUUCCCUGCUCACAAUAUGGUGCUGCUGAGGUCUGCGUCUCUGGGUGCGACAGGUGUUUCUCAUUUUGAUGAUCAUCUGGAAGAAUAUAUAGGGGACGGAUCGCCAGCACGUCUUUGCCUGAGUGUUUUGCCUACAGCGGUACCAUCACCUGGCCAAAUCUUGUAUUUUGAAAAUCUUGUGUCUGAUUGAUUAAGAGAAAUUACUCACCGUUUCUGUCUCGCUCCUUCCAGGUUCCAUAUUCAGUCUUUUGACUCAGUCUAAUGGUUUAUCGCACCCUGCUUCAGAAGAACCCGGAUCAAGUCCCAGCUGGCUGUCCAUUCUCCGGUACUCUUUCCUCGCCUGCAUGCACCUAGUCCACCCUCCAACGAUCCGCUUACUUGGACCACGGAGGUUCCUGGUGGAUUCCCAGAAGAGGCCCCCUGGAUCUCCAGACUCAUUUGCCAUCUCCCUGGCGGAUCUAGUCCUCCCUGCAUGCCGUAAGCCUUCUGAAACAGAGACUGUUAGCUGUCACUCACCAAGUACUUACCUGACCUGUUUCCUUCUUUUUCGCAGUCCUCUGGUACCUGUCUGCAUGGCUAGCCCUGAUCAUUAUCUGUUCCAGAAUUCUAGCAAUAAACUUCCAAAACUGUUUACUUGUUUCUCUGAGUGUUCUCCCGCAUGUGGGUUAUGUCGGCCGUUAAAACAACGACAGAACACUCAGGCCAGCCGAACCCAGCGGAGGGACUUCAGAGAACAGUAUCUGAGCAUAGUCAUCAGAUUCAUACCCAUGGUACAACCCUUAGAUCACAUUUAGAUCACCAGCAGGAGACAAAUCAGCAGUUGGGACAACUAGCGGCAAUGCUUCAGCAGAGGUUGGGUAAUGUGACUGCCCAGCCUUCAGGCGGCGCUGCUUCUCCGCUUCUCACCAGCUUCCACAUAGCAGAGAGGUUACCUCCCCCAAUCCUGAGAAGUUCUCAGGUGAGGUCGGGAGAUGUCAUGGUUUUCUGUUGCGGUGUGGUUUAGUGUUUAACCAUUCCCCACAGAGUUUUCCCCAUCCUGAUUGUAAGAUCUCAUACAUUGUCGGAUUACGUACCGGCAAGGCGCUACGUUGGGCUGAGGCUAGGUUUAUCAACCCCAAUCAGUUUGGAAGUACAUACGAGGAGUUCAUAAAGGAGUUUAGACUAACUUUUGAUUUAGAUUCAGGUCCCUCCAGUGUGGCUUGCCGCCUACGGGCAUUAAGACAGCGAGGCCAGUCUUUAAAUGAUUUCGCCAUUGAAUUCCAUACCUUAGCUGCGGCUUCUGGCUGGAAUUCGAGCGCUCUGAAGUCCAUAUUUUUCCAGUGUUUAGAUGAGGCUGUAAAGGAUGAAUUAUCGCUACUAGACGAGCCAGAGGGAUUAGAUGAGUACAUCAACUUGGCUAUCAGUCUUGAUACACGCAUGAGAGAGAGAAGGCGAGUCCAUUCUGAGCGAUUUAUGCCCUGAUUUCAGUCCACUUCCUCGCCCCAGUCUCAGCCACAGUCUAGGUUGGUUCCCAGCCCAGACGAGCCUGAGCCUAUGCAGCUGGAUAGAGUGCGUAGGGAGAAGACAGCUGCUUCUACUGUGUGGAGUCCGAUCAUCCAAUUUCCGCCAGUCCAGUCCGGCCAAAAGGGCAAGUCCGUCGGCUGUAAAGGGGCAGGCUGAGCCACUGACCACCCCACGUCAGGUGUUGGCACUGGAUGGUCAGCCUCUCUGCCAGAUAACUCACAGAACUGAGCCACUUGAGUUAGUGUUAUCAGGAAAUCACAGGGAACAGAUUUCUUUCUUUAUUUUUCCCAUGUCCCAGAACCCAGUAGUAUUGUGGUUUCCAUGGUUGCGGACCCAUAAUCCACAUUUAGAUUGGGCCAAGCUAAGAAUAGAGGCCUGGUCCACACAGUCUAUGCUCACCUGCCUGCAAUCUGCUGUCUCCCCUAGAUCUCCGGUACAGGAGGAGGUGGAGGUCGAGCCGUCGGACCUUCACCUUGUUCCCCCAGAUUAUCAUGACCUUAAGGCAGUCUUUAGUAAGUCACGAGCCCUGUCCCGACCAGCCCAUCGUCCAUACGACUGCACAAUAGAUCUGUUACCUGGAGCCCCGUUGCCCUCCAGCCGACUUUUUUUUUUGUUGGGAAGAAGGACGGGUCUCUUUGGCCUUGCAUUGGUUAUAGGGGGAUAAAUGCAAUCACAGUUAAAAAUAAGUAUCCGUUACCACUUCUUUCCUCAGCUUUUGAACCAGUCCACGGUGCUACGGUUUUCACAAAGUUAGAUCUCCGCAAUGCAUAUCACUUAGUCCGGAUCCACCAGGGAGAUGAGUGGAAGACGGCAUUCAAGACACCGAUUGGACAUUUUGAAACCUUCUGAAACAGAGACUGUUAGCUGUCACUCACCAAGUACUUACCUGACCUGUUUCCCUCUUUUUUGCAGUCCUCUGGUUCCUGUCUGCAUGGCUAGCCCUGAUCAUUAUCUAUUCCAGAAUUCUAGCAAUAAACUUCCAAAACUGUUUA